GUGCUGGUUUUGGCAGCACAGACACUAAAAUUGGAACAAUACAGAGAAGAUUAGCAUGCUCCCUGCACAAGUCGACACACAAAUUCAUGAAGCAUUCCAUAAUUUU
ensembl:snRNA U6 U6 spliceosomal RNA